rnacentral:rRNA from 1 species
UACGGGGGGGGCAAGCGUUGUUCGGAAUUACUGGGCGUAAAGGGCUCGUAGGUGGCCAACUAAGUCGGACGUGAAAUCCCUCGGCUUAACCGGGGAACUGCGUCCGAUACUGGUUGGCUUGAGUUUGGGAGAGGGAUGCGGAAUUCCAGGUGUAGCGGUGAAAUGCGUAGAUAUCGGAAGGAACAUCAGUGGCGAAGGCGACUUCCUGGACCAAUACUGACGCUCAGGUGCGAAAGCGUGGGGAGCAAACAGG